UGAAAUGGUUGCUUUGCAGCCGUUUCUUAACUGAGAGGAUUGCCCCAUGGCACUCAGCGUUGAAGAAAAAGCCCAGAUCGUAACUGACUACCAGCAAGCUGCU
rnacentral:ncRNA from 1 species